UACCUGCAGCUCAAGUGGUAGCCGCUAUUAUUGGGCCUAAAACGUUCGUAGCCGGUUUGAUAAAUGCCUGGGUAAAUCGUAUGGCUUAACCAUACGAAUUCCGGGUAGACUGUUAAACUUGAGACCGGGAGAAGUCGGAGGUACUCCUGGGGUAGAGGUGAAAUUCUGUAAUCCUAGGGGGACCACCAGUGGCGAAGGCGUCCGACUAGAACGGGUCUGACGGUGAGGGACGAAGCCCUGGGGCGCAAACCGGAUUAAAUACCCGGGUAGUCCAGGGUGUAAACGCUGCUUGCUUGAUGUUAGUUGGGCUCCGAGCCCAAUUAGUGUCGGAGAGAAGUUGUUAAGCAAGCUGCCUGGGAAGUACGGUCGCAGGACUGAAACUUAAAGGAAUUGGCGGGGGAGCACAGCAACGGGUGGAGCGUGCGGUUU
rnacentral:rRNA from 1 species